rnacentral:rRNA from 1 species
GCUAAAUGCCAUGCCACCGUGCUGCCCUCAGGAAACUAAGCAGGGUUGGGCGUGGUUAGUACCUGGAUGGGAGACCACCUGGGAAUACCAGGUGCCGUAAGCU